UACGGAAGGCAGCAGUGGGGAAUAUUGCACAAUGGGCGAAAGCCUGAUGCAGCUAUGCCGCGUGUAUGAAGAAGGCCUUAGGGUUGUAAAGUACUUUCAUCGGGGAGGAAAAAACAAAACUAAUAAUUUUAUUUCUUGACGUUACCCGAAAAAGAAGCACCGGCUAACUCCGUGCCAGCAACCGCGGUAAUACGGAGGGUGCUAGCGUUAAUCAGAAUUACUGGGCGUAAAGAGCACGUAGGUGGUUUUUUUUAAGUCAGAUGUGAAAUCCCUGGGCUUAACCUGGAACUGCAUUUUGAAACUGAAAUACUAGAGUAUCGUAGAGGGAGGUAGAAUUCUAGGUGUAGCGGUGAAAUGCGUAGAUAUCUGGAGGAAUACCUGUGGCGAAAGCGGCCUCCUAAACGAAUACUGACACUGAGGGUGCGAAAGCGUGGGGAGCAAACAGGGAUUAGAUACC
rnacentral:rRNA from 1 species